UAUUGGCUUUCUGCACCUGACGAGAACCACUAGGCUUAUCCGAAGACGGAAAUAUAUGGGCUUUCCUGACUCCAAGUGGCAGCCCCGGGGCGAGCAUGUGAUGUCAAGCUGGGCCGUGGAAAGCAGAGCUGUGCACCAGCCUGUGUCUGAAGAAUGCAUCAGAUCCCCUGGAACUGGAGCUCCAGAUGAUAAUGAGGUACCAUGUGGGUGCUGGGAACCAAGCCCAGGUCCUCUACAAUAGCUGGGGAGAGGCUGAAGCCUGCAGCUCACAGUUCACCUGGAAUGCCACUGGCUGCUGAAGGGCUGGAUGGAGAUGCUGAGACAACCUGAUGGAUCAUCUCAUAAACAGAGCCUGCAGGAAGGAAAAGAAAAUUAUGCCAGCAGAAUGCACUUAUGGGAAAUAGAUAUGUGCGGUGCAGGGAGAAAUGCUUUGAUAUUAAAAUUUUUUGUAA
rnacentral:lncRNA from 1 species